rnacentral:rRNA from 1 species
GACGAACGCUGGCGGCGUGCCUAACACAUGCAAGUCGUGCGAGAAAGUUCCUUCGGGAGCGAGUAAAGCGGCGCACGGGUGAGUAACACGUAGGUAACCUGCCCCCCAGUCUGGAACAACUAGAGGAAACUCUAGCUAAUGCCGGAUGAGACCACGAUCCCUUCGGGGGUUGCGGCCAAAGAUGGCCUCUACUUGUAAGCUAUCGCUGAGGGAUGGGCCUGCGGCCAUUAGCUUGUUGGUGAGGUAACGGCUCACCAAGGCUGUGAUGGCUAGCUGGUCUGAGAGGAUGACCAGCCACACUGGGACUGAGACACGGCCCAGACUCCUACGGGAGGCAGCAGUGGGAAUAUUGCGCAAUGGGCGAAAGCCUGACGCAGCGACGCCGCGUGGGUGAUGAAGGCCUU